AACAAAUUUCGUCGAUUUUUGUUCUACAUCUACCCUGUAGAUCCGAAUUUGUUUGAAUAUUUAACAAGCGACAAAUUCGGUUCUAGAGAGGUUUGUGUGGGGCAUUUGAUUCCAUCGGAAAUAGA
rnacentral:pre_miRNA from 11 species